rnacentral:misc_RNA from 1 species
AUAUUUAUUUAAAAAAAAAAAAAGGAAUUCACUUCAAAAUUUCCAUUUCUAAAAGUCAGUAUUUUAUUUAUCAAGGAAAAGAAAAGCUUCAUAGUUUUUCUUUCCCAAUGGCUGGACGGCUACGUCAAGGUUGAAAUCUUCUUGUGUCCGAUUUUCUCUGCACAUGCAAGAGAAAGAGAAAAUUAAUUAGUAGUCGAUAAAGAGUAGUCGACUCGUCAACCAUCCUUAACCCUUUGUUUGGAGAGAAAU